CGUGUAGGCGGUCAGGUAAGCGGAAUGUGAAAUGCCCCGGCUCACCCGGGGACCGGCAUCCCAAACUGCCUGGCUUGAGUAUGGGAGAGGAUGGAGGAAUUCCUGGUGUAGCGGUGAAAUGCGUAGAUAUCAGGAGGAACACCGGUGGCGAAGGCGUCCAUCUGGCCCAAUACUGACGCUGAGGCGCGAAAGCUAGGGGAGCAAACG
rnacentral:rRNA from 1 species